GACUGAGUGUCCACAGGAAACACCCCGGCCUCCGAGGGUCCCCCCGUCCCUGGGUGGCACCGUCAUCCACCAAGCUCCGCCCCCCAGGACAAUGGGGUGAGGAAGUGCUGCCCGUGCCCAGCUCGUGCCCUGAAGAGGAGGGGCCUGGCUGCUCAGGGCUUGUCUCCAGCUUCCCCACGCUGGCUCAGGCCGAGGGAACAGAGGACGCUUGGGGACAGGAGGAGCUGCAGAAGCAGAACCGAGACUCAGAGACCAUGGAGGGGGUGGAGGCUGAGUCUUCCUGGGCUGAGCAGGGGGAACUCCAGCCCCCAGUUGCCCAAAUGAGCUUCAGGAAAGGCUCUGGGCCUUACUCAGACAACGGUAUGCGGUUUCUGUGAUGUCCAUCAAGGUGACAUCCUGAAACCAGAAAAAGGAAGUGCACCAGGAGGGGAGACAGCCCACAGGAGCUGUGAGACCCCACCCUGGCCUCGUACCCUCUCAGGGACUGGCCGCCCCAGCAGGGUGGUGGGGACGGUUCGGGGCCACGUCCACAUGCUCCGCCUUCACAGGGGUAUCAGCAGCUCCCCGACACCAGGCGGGCUCUCGGGACCCUCUACGGCCUCAGCCCCUCCUGAUCCUCCCGUGGAUCACAGUUCCAGCCAUUCUAGUGCGCGCGGCAUCUGGUGGGGGUUUCUAUUUUGUUUACGAUGACACGUAAUAACAGUGCAUGUUGCAGGCACAGCGUCCCGUUGCACACAGGGCACAGCCAUUGGAACAGUGCAGCUGGCAUCUCCACGCCUCGGGCGGGUUCUGUGGGGCUGACAGACACUCCAAGCCCAGCUUUCCCGGCUCUGGAGCUUGUGUCACCCCGCUCACCACAGAGCCGCGUCCCCUGUGGCAGCACCGCCUGCCUGGACCCAUCCCCAGGGCUCCAUCUGUCCCCAGCUUCCUCCUGGCUGGACUGAGUCCUGUGGGAUUGUGGCUGAACAUGUCAUCUGCUGUGGUCCUCUCAACCUGGUGCUCUGGAGCCUCCGCGGCUUCGGCUUCGGGGUUGAUCCCCCGUGCUGAUCAGUCGUCAACUUGCCAGCGUGAGACCCAGGAGAGGGGCUCAGCUGUGAGCCGUCUGUUGCCACAACCCCUCAGUCCCCAAGGAGGUCGGGGCAACGCCAGGGCAACGCCAGGCUGUUGUACGCUCUCGGGCAGCCUCACUGCUUGGCAGGCCCUGGGUCCAGGACAGGCAGGAAUGAAGCCUUGCUGUGCUGGGCUGAACCGUGUGCCUCCCGUUCCUGUGCAGAAGGCCUAACUCCCACCUCAGGUGCAGUCUCAUUCGGAGUUAGGGUCUUUAAAGAGGUAAGGCGGGCACACUGGGAGAGAGCUCAUUUCUUUUGUUUGUUUUUGCUUUUUGAGACAGGGUCUUGCUGUGUCGCCCAGGCUGGAUUGCAGUGAAACAACCAUGGCUCAUGGCAGCCUUGACCUCCUGGGUUUAAGCCAUCCUUCCACCUUGGCCUCUGGAGUAGCUGGGACUACAGGCUCGCACACCCACACCUGCCUAAUAUUUCUUCUUUUUUGUAGAGACGGGGUCUUGCCAUGUUGCCCAGGCUGCUCUCAAACUCCUGGGUUCAAGCAAUGCUCCUGCCUUGGCCUCCCAAAGUGCUGGGAUUCUAGCCACUGUGCCCUGCUGAGAAAACUCAUUCUUAUUGUUUAGGCUGCCCUGUCACAGGGCCCUGCUAGGGCAGUGGAGGUUAACUCACACCACACCGUCAGAUCCACCCCAGCACCAGCCUGUCUGUGUGAGAGUUCCGGAUUCUGUUCACGGAAAACGUUCCUACAGGCAGCUCUAAAAAUAGAUGGCAAGGGGUGAAGGGGGCAGAAAGACCCAGAGCCUCC
ensembl:lncRNA